UAGUCGAUCGGUCAGUGCGUCGUGCAAUAAUUGUUGAUAUUACUGUUCCACAUGACGAUAAUCUGGUUAAAACCGAAAAAGAAAAAGUAUCAAAAUACUUGGACCGUGCUCACGAGAUAACCACUAUGUCUAUGGUCUUAUAGCGAAAAGACUAACAUUUAAGAAAUAAAUAAAUGAGAGACUAAAAUAAUAAUUACUCUAGACGGCAAUUAGGCAGACGCCACGUGAAGUCACCCGCGUAGUUCCCGUUCCCCUGAGAAUACGGAGGUUAAAAUAUAGCCUGUGUUCAUCAGGAAAAAUGUUGGAUUCAAAAUGGUGAAAGAAUUUAUUAAUCCGGUUCAGUAGUUUCAGAGACUAUUUAAUACGAACAAACAAACGUACAAACCUCUUUCCUCUUCUUUAUAAUAUCAGUAUGGACUAUCUGACGCUACGGGAUUUCACUCGCGUAGUUCUCGUUCACAUAUUAAUUAUGGGCUUUGUUUAUCUGAGAUAAUUUACGAUUCUAAUUGUAAAAGAAUUUUAAACCAGUCUAUUCGUUUCAGAGCCUUUUCAAAGCAAACAAACAAACAAUCAAAUCUGUUCUCUUUAUUAUAUUACUAUAGAUUGUGUCUAUAAUUAAUGUGAUCUACAGAUAGUUCUAGACCUACAGAUUAACCAGCAGAUACUUAUUUGUGUACAGCCAAAUCAUUAAGUGUAGAUUAUAAAACUCGGAAUGUUAUCUAUAAUUAAAUAUAUUUUUAAUGAGUUUUUAAUAGGUUUUCACGUCUAUUAGCGUCAUAAUAUAAUAUAUAAACUCCGUUACAAGAUCUACAUUCAGUGCGUUGAUUUCAUCGAAAUAACUACAAUGAAAACCUUACUCUGCAUCGUGGUAGUCGCUUGCGUAAGUGCGGCCUACGUUUCGACUGAGCCUCUGCUAGGGGGAGGAGUGGGCAGUGGGGGUAUCGAACGUGCCGCAGAGUCACGAUCUUUCAGACAGCCAUGGUUUUCGGGACUUGGAACCAAGCGUGCUGCGGGUAGUCGAGGAGUGGGCAGCGAGGGUAUGGCUAUCGGACGUGCCAAAAGGUCACGAUCUUUCAGACAGCCAUGGUUUUCGGGAAUGGGGUCGUUCGUUCGUGCUGCGGGUAGUCGAGCUAGUCCCGUUGCCGUGCGAGCCUCUGAGCCCAGAGACCGGCGGCGGCUGGGUGAAAGGAAACCUUAUGUGGGAUUAUUUAAAAUGGAUUAAUUUUAUAAUAAUAAUAAAUAAAUAUAUAAAUACAUCAAUAACUAGCUCCAAAUUAAGCGAAGCUUGUGAUACAUAAAUAAAAUAAAGCUAUAAAUAAUCGUA